rnacentral:rRNA from 1 species
UACGGAGGGUGCAAGCGUUAUCCGGAUUCACUGGGUUUAAAGGGUGCGUAGGUGGGCAGUUAAGUCAGUGGUGAAAUCUCAAGGCUCAACCUUGAAACUGCCAUUGAUACUAUUUAUCUUGAAUAUCGUUGAGGUAGGCGGAAUAUAUCAUGUAGCGGUGAAAUGCUUAGAUAUGAUAUAGAACACCGAUUGCGAAGGCAGCUUGCUAAACGAUUAUUGACGCUGAGGCACGAAAGCGUGGGGAUCAAACAGG